UACGGAGGGUGCAAGCGUUAUCCGGAUUCACUGGGUUUAAAGGGUGCGUAGGUGGGCCUGUAAGUCAGUGGUGAAAUCUCCGGGCUUAACCCGGAAACUGCCAUUGAUACUAUAGGUCUUGAAUUUUCUGGAGGUCAGCGGAAUAUGUCAUGUAGCGGUGAAAUGCUUAGAUAUGACAUAGAACACCGGAUGCGAAGGCAGCUGACUACAGGAACAUUGACACUGAGGCACGAAAGCGUGGGGAUCAAACAGGAU
rnacentral:rRNA from 1 species